GCAGUCGUGGCCGAGUGGUUAAGGCGAUGGAUCAGAAAUCCAUUGGGGUCUCCCCGCACAGGUUCGCAUCCUGUCGACUGCG
rnacentral:tRNA from 1 species